rnacentral:rRNA from 1 species
GACGAACGCUGGCGGCGUGCUUAACACAUGCAAGUCGAACGGAAAGGCCCUGCUUUUGUGGGGUGCUCGAGUGGCGAACGGGUGAGUAACACGUGAGUAACCUGCCCUUGACUUUGGGAUAACUUCAGGAAACUGGGGCUAAUACCGGAUAGGAGCUCCUGCUGCAUGGUGGGGGUUGGAAAGUUUCGGCGGUAGGGGAUGGACUCGCGGCUUAUCAGCUUGUUGGUGGGGUAGUGGCUUACCAAGGCUUUGACGGGUAGCCGGCCUGAGAGGGUGACCGGCCACAUGGGUACUGAGAUACGGCCCAGACUCCUACGGGAGGCAGCAGUGGGGAAUAUUGCACAAUGGGCGGAAGCCUGAUGCAGCAACGCCGCGUGCGGGAUGACGGCCUUCGGGUUGUAAACCGCUUUCGCCUGUGACGAAGCGUGAGUGACGGUAAUGGGUAAAGAAGCACCGGCUAACUACGUG